rnacentral:rRNA from 1 species
UACGUAGGGGGCUAGCGUUGUCCGGAUUUAUUGGGCGUAAAGAGCGUGUAGGCGGCCAGGUAGGUCUGCUGUGAAAACUCGAGGCUCAACCUCGAGACGUCGGCGGAAACCAUCUGGCUAGAGUCCGGAAGAGGAGAGUGGAAUUCCUGGUGCAGCGGUGAAAUGCGCAGAUAUCAGGAAGAACACCCGUGGCGAAGGCGGCUCGCUGGGACGGUACUGACGCUGAGACGCGAAAGCGUGGGGAGCGAACAGG